rnacentral:rRNA from 1 species
GACGAACGCUGGCGGCGUGCUUAACACAUGCAAGUCGAACGAAGUGGCGAACGGGUGAGUAACGCGUAAUCAACCUGCCCUUCAGAGGGGGACAACAGUUGGAAAAGACUGCUAAUACCCCAUACUGAAGGAGGGGAGUUGGUCUGGUGAGCUAGUUGGAGGGGUAACGGCCCACGAAGGCGAUGAUCAGUAGCCGGUCUGAGAGGAGGAACGGCCACAUUGGGAAUGAGACACGGCCCAGACUCCUACGGGAGGCAGCAGUGGGGAAUCUUCCGCAAAGGACGAAAGUCUGACGGAGCAACGCCGCGUGAGUGAUGACGGCCUUCGGGUUGGAAAGCUCUGUUAAUCGGGACGCGGUACCGGAAUAGAAAGCCACGGCUAACUACGUGCCAGCAGCCGCGGUAAUAC